GGAUGUAUCACCAGGCUGGCAUAGGCUGGUAUUUCAAACUAUAUCAGAAAUUCCCCAAAACGAAGGGAUUGUUUCGGAAACAUACCACACGCUGUCGUCCCCCCUUUUUGGUGGCACAUUUUCCCAUUAAGUUCUUGAUUUCGCAUCGGUCUGGUAUUUUCGCUACAUAUCGUUGGGUAGCUGAGAACUUAAGCUUCUUUUCCUGGAGCCCGACUUCAAAGCAGAAUUGAUGGGUGAGGUGGUGCGGGCAUGCGAACUUCAUUAACAUUUUUAUGAUGCGCCUUGGCAACCGCAAAUGUGGCCAGAGUUCGCGGAAGGAAACUGGUGGAAGAUCUAGCCCUGUCCAGGACUUUAGGACUCUAGGACUUUAAGGACCUCGAAUCGUGUGGCUCGCAACGAAAUGCUUUUGUUGCCGCCGCAGCCUUGGCGCAUUUUUUCCGCUCGCCAUUAUGAUGAUUUUUUAUCUAACUGUUUUUGUUUUUAUAUAUAUAUUUUUUGUUGUUUUAUAUUCUUGUUGCCGCCUUGGCCGCGGAACGAGGGAGCGACUAAGCACAAUGAGGCAGUGUCCUUCGCCUCCUUUCGGGCCACCUGAGCUACAACCCAUGAGCCAUGAACCAUGACCAAAACAAAGCCAUUACAGUUAUUUGUUGUCUAUGCUGCGCUCUCGCUUGUAAUUUACACAAUAAACAUUGACAAAGGA